rnacentral:SRP_RNA from 1 species
GCCGGGCGCGGUGGCUCAAGCCUGUAAUCCCAGCACUUUGGGAGGCCGAGACGGGCGGAUCACGAGGUUGGGAGAUCGAGACCAUCCUGGCUAACACGGUGAAACCCCGUCUCUACUAAAAAAUACAAAAAACUAGCCGGGCGUGGUGGCGGCGCCUGUAGUCCCAGCUACUCGGGAGGCUGAGGCAGGAGAAUGGCGUNNNNNNNNNNUCUGCCUCAGCCUCCCGAGUAGCUGGGACUACAGGCGCCGCCACCACGCCCGGCUAGUUUUUUGUAUUUUUUAGUAGAGACGGGGUUUCACCGUGUUAGCCAGGAUGGUCUCGAUCUCCCAACCUCGUGAUCCGCCCAUCUCGGC